ensembl:lncRNA
UCCAUCAAUAGCUCAGAUUUAUAAUAAUAAAUAUUGUUUAGAUAUUUCAAUACAUUGAUAAAUAUACAAAAUAUUACAGAGAUAAAUUACUUUUGAAUGAUUGCAGACAAUUGAAUGCUACUUUCAAGCACUCUUGAAGUCAAAAGGCGAUAGACGAAAAAAAAUUAUAUUCAGCCACUAUUCUGCCAGUGUUGUUGUAUUUGGGGAGAGGUCUGCAUUGUCAAAUCACAGUUUACGAAAGGUGAGACUUUAUAAAUGUUAUGCGAUAAAGAAGAAAAUAUCAGAAGGAGAAGUUGAUUUGUAACAUUUAACUAAUUUGCAGGUUAACUUUGAAGACUACAAUGCUCUCAUUGGAUUCAUUAAUGUACACAGAAACCACUGGAAAUUUCUGUAUCUCAACAGGAAUAUGCAGAAAGUGUUUGUGGUGGAUCCCCAAGGGAAUGAAGAAGAGAAAGAUUUUCAACUUGCUGCCAAAAGAUUCAGGCAGUACUUCAAAAUGCGUCAGAUACGGCAUGCUAAGACAGACUGGGUGGAUGUGAAAUGUUUUGAAGCACAUUAACCAAGAAGACGGUUACAGCCGCAGAGUUUAUGUCAUGCAGAUGGCUAAGGAAGUAGUGGAGGCUUUUCCUCAGACACCAUCGAAAAUCAUAAUACCUUCAUGUAAGCGCAGCCUCGCAGAGCUUCGUAAGGACAUGGCUGUAACAAUCCUACAAGCAUCAGUGUUCAACCCAAAGGAACAUUGCUCCUUUUGUUGCCUACAUUCUCCUCCUGGACGUGUUGGUCUGAACACAUGGGUUUGUGUAAUUUUUAAUAGCAAUUGGCUAAUUAUAUUAGCUAUUACACAUAGAGUCCCUGUUGUCAAUUAUAAAAUUAAUUACAUAAUUAGUCAAACUGAAAUGUAA